GCAGAAUGCCAAACAGACCACUGGCUCGCGUGCUGUAAACUCAACUUCAAUAUCAAAUUCAAACCCAAAAGGGGUAGCAUCCCAAGGAGAAGACUCCAAGUUAACAAUCUCCAAUCAGCCACAGUUCAGUUUUUUUGGGG